UACGUAGGGUGCAAGCGUUAAUCGGAAUUACUGGGCGUAAAGGGCGCGUAGGCGGUCAGCACAAGUCAGUUGUGAAAUCUCCGGGCUUAACUCGGAAAGGUCAACUGAUACUGUGCGACUAGAGUGCAGAAGGGGCAACUGGAAUUCUCGGUGUAGCGGUGAAAUGCGUAGAUAUCGAGAGGAACACCUGCGGCGAAGGCGGGUUGCUGGGCUGACACUGACGCUGAUGCGCGAAAGCCAGGGGGGCGAACGGG
rnacentral:rRNA from 1 species